rnacentral:lncRNA from 1 species
GUGUUCAAAGCACUCUCACGCUUAUCAACUUAAUAAUGGUUUGGUUGAGGGUUUUAGGUCUCAUCAUAUAUAAGCAUGCUUUUUAAUCUUAUUAAAAAAAUUUGGUCCUAUUAUAACUAUUGGUCCAUGUGAUUGAUUUAGUAGUAUAUGAUACUCCCACUAUGCUUGUAAAACGGUUUUUAAAGAAAGAAUAUAUGGUACUACUAACGUAAGCUUUGCAUUCAUUGAUGGACUAUAUAGUUGCCUUAGGGCCUUAGGAUGACUAUGAACCUUUGAUUCGAUCCAACACGAGCCUAGUGUUGGAUCUCGGUCUAGGAACGGUGAUUAAUUUUAGUUACACUUUUAAUCACAUUAAGGCGUGUUUUCUUAUUGGGCCUUGGACCCUCUACUCCAAUUUUAUGCAUAUCAAAUAAUACAAGAAAGGAGUACUUCAAAGUAAAGAAGAGCUUAUGCUCUUUUACAACAUUUGAACAAACUAAAUUACUUUAAAGUAAAGAAAAGCUCAUGCUCUUUUACAACAUUUGAUCAUAUCAAAUUACAACCAAAAUCUAAUCUACACAUUACCAUGGUUCAAACAACUUGAGAGAUGGCCUUUCACAUAACUCAAUUAUCGUAGGCUUAGGUUCAUAAUACCCUUUCUUUAAUUAAUUAUAAUUAACGCUUUAACUAAGUA